CACGUAGGGUGCGAGCGUUGUCCGGAAUUAUUGGGCGUAAAGAGCUCGUAGGCGGUGUGUCGCGUCGGCCGUGAAAACCUGCAGCUUAACUGUGGGCUUGCGGUCGAUACGGGCAUCACUGGAGUUCGGCAGGGGAGACUGGAAUUCCUGGUGUAGCGGUGAAAUGCGCAGAGUAUCAGGAGGAACACCGGUGGCGAAGGCGGGUCUCUGGGCCGUAACUGACGCUGAGGAGCGAAAGCAUGGGGAGCGAACAGG
rnacentral:rRNA from 1 species